rnacentral:rRNA from 1 species
CCUACGGGAGGCAGCAGUGAGGAAUAUUGGGCAAUGGGCGCGAGCCUGAACCAGCCAAGUAGCGUGAAGGAUGACUGCCCUACGGGUUGUAAACUUCUUUUAUAAAGGAAUAAAGUGAGGCACGAGUGCCUUUUUGGAUGUACUUUAUGAAUAAGGAUCGGCUAACUCCGUGCCAGCAGCCGCGGUAAUAAGGAGGAUCCGAGCGUUAUCCGGAUUUAUUGGGUUUAAAGGGAGCGUAGAUGGGUUGUUAAGUCAGUUGUGAAAGUUUGCGGCUCAACCGUAAAAUUGCAAUUGAUACUGGCAGUCUUGAGUACAGUUGAGGUAGGCGGAAUUCGUGGUGUAGCGGUGAAAUGCUUAGAUAUCACGAAGAACUCCGAUUGCGAAGGCAGCUUACUAAACUGCCACUGACAUUGAUGCUCGAAAGUGUGGGUAUCAAACAGGAUUAGAUACCCCAGUAGUC